ACUUUUGGAUUGCAGAAGUUGUUUGGGAUGCAGAAGCACUUCUCCAAAGUGCUUUUAGAGCCAAAGGGAAAAGCUGAAAAUAGAUAUAGUGGCUUUCAGAUUUGGGAUGUGAAAUAUACCACUAAACCCUCAUUGCCUUCUUUAAGCAAAGCUGUUGGGUUUAUCUGCAACAUCCAUUUCUCUCCCCUGUUUCACCAAGAAAUUGCAGAGCUGCUAUUAGUAACACUUUCAUCUUUUUCAUUUGGGUUUUCAAUAGCUCAAACAGCUUUUUUCUGACUUUGCAAAUGGCCAUAAUUAAUAACAUAAGAAAAACGUGAAGAGAAGGCUGUAGAAGAAAGAAAGAUGGAAUCAAUGGAUCUUUAGGUCAUGUUUGGUUGGAAGGUUUAUGAAUGGAUUCCAACCCAAUUUGGUGGCCCCACCACCAAACAUUUGUUUGGUUGACUGUAAUGUUAUUACAGCCUGAAUUCAUUCACGUUCUAUUACAGGAAAAGGAUGAAUAGUCAUUCCCUUCCUUCACCACUGAAUUCUUGUACAGUCUCGUGGAGUAAAUUUUUUUUCCCAUUUUCAAUUUUUGCCCUCACCUUUACCCGGAGAGAAUGAAGAAGCUGUAAUGGAAACUAUCAUCUUCUCAUUCGAUCUUACUGAUCCGGAUAACUCAAAUUCGAAGCUAGAUCGAGGAAAAGAAAAAGUUUCAGAUUAGUAUAUUUUUUUUAUACGAACUAUUAUCGAGUGCUCGGAAGCUCACAAAGGUAGAAGAUCGGUUAGAGUAUCAUCACACUAUCCACUAGCUUGUUUUGGUAUAAAUAGUAAACUUAUUUUGGCAUAAUGACAUGUAUAGGUAACUUGGCCAUUGUUGACAUAUAAAUGUGGUUUGUAAACUAGCAAUUGGAAUGACUACUAAUGAUUUGUUUUGGUAUUUAUUAUGACAAACACCUAUAUUUUAAGUAUAUUGAGUAUGGU